GAGUUAGCCGAUGCUUAUUCCUCAGGUACCGUCAAAAUUCUUCCCUGAGAAAAGAGGUUUACAAUCCAAGAACCUUCCUCCCUCACGCGGUAUUGCUCCGUCAGGCUUUCGCCCAUUGCGGAAAAUUCCCCAC
rnacentral:rRNA from 1 species